ensembl:scaRNA
UUAACUGGGAAGGAGAGAACAGUUGGAGUAAUCGAUAGUAUGGUUGACUGUGGAAUAUGCCUGUGGACCCAGAAGAUACAUGUGUGACAGAAGUGUGUACAUUUGCCACCACACACCUUUCCUACACCUUGAUCUUAUUUCAGCUGUGACCCAUGAUCCUCAGUCCUGGCACCAGGGAAUGAAUGUUCACUUUCUUAGGGAGCUGUGGAAAAGAUGGUUGGCCAGAGGCAGUGCCAGAGUUCCCAAGGUCUCAGAGCCUGUCCUGAAACACCUCGUUCCCUCUUCCCCACCUACUUCCCACCCCCAGUAUUCAGAAAUGAUGAACUAAUCAGAUAGAGGAGAAUGGAUGUGUUCUGGUCACUUAUUUGAGGAGGUGACUGUGAUUUGA